CCUACGGGCGGCAGCAGUGGGGAAUAUUGCACAAUGGGCGCAAGCCUGAUGCAGCCAUGCCGCGUGUGUGAAGAAGGCCUUCGGGUUGUAAAGCACUUUCAGCGGGGAGGAAGGCGGUGAGGUUAAUAACCUCAUCGAUUGACGUUACCCGCAGAAGAAGCACCGGCUAACUCCGUGCCAGCAGCCGCGGUAAUACGGAGGGUGCAAGCGUUAAUCGGAAUUACUGGGCGUAAAGCGCACGCAGGCGGUCUGUCAAGUCGGAUGUGAAAUCCCCGGGCUCAACCUGGGAACUGCAUUCGAAACUGGCAGGCUGGAGUCUUGUAGAGGGGAGUAGAAUUCCAGGUGUAGCGGUGAAAUGCGUAGAGAUCUGGAGGAAUACCGGUGGCGAAGGCGGCCCCCUGGACAAAGACUGACGCUCAGGUGCGAAAGCGUGGGGAGCAAACAGGAUUAGAUACCCUAGUAGUC
rnacentral:rRNA from 1 species